rnacentral:lncRNA from 1 species
GUGUGUUUAUGCAUCCAGAAUCACUAUGUGGUCCGAAUCCAAUCUUCUUUGUCAAGCUUGAUCUUCUUCAUCAAGCCCAAGCUCACCCCAGGGAGGAUGUCGGGGUUCAUUCAAGGAGUGAGUAAAUGUUAUUUUGUGUGAUUUAUGCUGCUAUCGUAGAGAGUUGUAGGUUUGUUGUUUGUAUACACACUCACGGUUCUACAAUAUUAAUUGUUUUCUUGAAUUAUUAACUACGUUUUAUGUUCCUGCUCUGUUAUAGAAGAGGAAUCACGAGCUGUGAAAUGUUUCAGAUGGCAACAACAUCUGAGCCUAAAUGCCACUUGCUGUGCCAUUUAAGACCCCAUUUAUCAAUUCAGCCAGUUCUCAGUUGGAAACAGUUGUACUCCAAAGUAACACAAGCAUGUCCAGCUGCUGUCAUUUCCAGCUGCUCACCAGAAUGAGAAUGAGAAAGAGAGCGAAGAUGGGAGCCGCUCUGGAGCCAGGAGCUUUCCUGCUUUAGGACCAGCAAUUAUUGCAGUUUAAGGUGUGUUUACACAAUGGCAAAAAGCACAAGAACAGCUCUAUUAUGAAUGUGUGUUUGACACAUUUGACAGUUUCAUUGUCGGUCCAAUACUGCUUCCUGACUGGUGUGUGCUCA